GUCAUGAGCUGGAGGCGAUUCCCCCACCCCACCCAUUCGCCACUCAAAAAUGUCAGAAUCUUCCAGAGGCACAAUACAGGCCCCAAACCAUCUCAAACAAAGGUGGAAAGCACGACAAACAGAAUAGAAUGGAAAUAAAUUCCAAAUCUUUAUGCAGUUUCUGGCUCCCGUGUCGACAGAAAUAAAUUCGAAUUAUAUUCGGGGGAAAGAAUGUUUGCUACACAGCGAAAAUGAACAAUAAAUAAACGGAGGCAGGCAGGGUGGUGCCAUUUAAUGUCCGAAAUGCUUGAGAGAAUAUGCAAAAAUCCGCACCGAACCGAGAAGAGCGGAGCAGAGCAGUAUCGGGGCAGUAUCUGGCGAGAUGUUACCGAAAAUUGUGAUAAAAAAUCGAUCCAUUAGCGGCUCUUUAAUGAUUCCACAACAAUAUCGACGAGUCGAAUAUUAUUCAUUUCGAAUUUCUGGACAAGAUCAUCGCAGUCCAGUUAUUGCCUCCUGUCAUCGCUUGCCAUUUCCCGUGUCCCAGAGCCCGCAAAACAUUCGCGGAAAAAUCAAGUAAAAAUAAACACAAAGUGUGCCAAAAGCAAACAAAACAAAAAACGAAAAGAACCUAAGGAAAACCAGAAGACAUCUUCUUCGCUGGAACAAAUUUUCACCCCUUUUUCGAUGGAUGCUAUUUGUGGCUGCUGCCACGGGAGAGUGCCUGCCACCGCAGACUGACGCUGACGCUGAAAUGCUGCUGCAAUUCUCCGCCUCUCCGGACCACAAGACACAAAUCAACUGUCGUCGGACUUCAAUCACAUUAAAAUGCACGCUCCAGAGCCACGAAAGGGACGGGAAAGGGGAAGGGAGAGGAGAGAAUAUGGAGUAUAUGACCCAAAUAAAUCAGGCCGAUGAUUGCAGGGCGUACAGAUACACCGGUCUACUAUAUAGUACUCGCCUUCCGAGACAGAGGUUGGCGUGCCAGUACGAGUACGGGUAUUAUGUGCAAUUUCAAUUAUCAGCGGGAACUCCCCCACCCCUCGCAAAGGUCGCAAACUGUCGCAUCAUGCUCAAUCGUCACCAGACAAGCCCCCAAAUCGUUUGUGUUCCUAAGCGGUAGCAUACUGCUCCUCACACACACACACACACACACACCUAAGAAUGACUCAAGAUCGGUGACACAGGAAUAUGAUAUUGACUUGGGGGAAUGGAAAGUUCUUCCUUAUCGGAAAGCGAGCUAAAGUUCGAACUACUAUAAAUACAACUAGGGCGCGCUCUCUCUCUCUCUCUCUCCUUCUUUCUAAGUGCAGUCUGGACUUGCUCUCUCUGAGUGGAAAGUUCGAGUUCCCUCUCUCUCUCUCGCUCUCUUGGCAGACAAUCGCUUGUAGAUCGAAUCGCUUGGCUCUGACAGCAAGACAGAUGAUGCCCAGAUAUCUGCCCACAACCAAAUUCAUAGCCAUAGCCAUAUCGAGAGUGUACAUUGUAUACUACUGAAAAUCGAUGGAAUGAGUAAAUCAUUUGCGCAGUUACAAAUCGGGGCAAAUGUCCACCGGCCCCUCCCCUACUGUACUGUGCGCCAUGUAAGGCAUUUACUUGAGGCUGGAGAAUUAUUUCAUAAGUUCCGCUGCCAUUACAGACCCCCCCGUUGACACGUAAUUCUCCAAACAAUUUGCGAAAUAUGCUCAAUAGUAUUCGUGAAACCGAAAGGGGCAACAGCGCAGACACA